CCCUUAGACGUUCUGGGCCGCACGCGCGCUACACUGACCAGUGCAUCAAGCAUCCGUCCUUGGCCGACAGGCCCGGGCAAUCUUUGAACGCUGGUCGUGAUGGGGAUAGACUUUUGCAAUUUUUGGUCUUCAACGAGGAAUUCCUAGUAAACGCAAGUCAUCAACUUGCAUUGAUUACGUCCCUGCCCUUUGUACACACCGCCCGUCGCACCUACCGAUUGAAUGGUCCGGUGAAGCCUCCGGAUUGGCGCGCACCUCGGUGCCGCCGAGAAGUUGGCUAAACCUUACCAUUUAGAGGAAGGUGAANUCGUAACA
rnacentral:rRNA from 1 species